UUUAACAGAAGCCCCAGCUUUCUGAACCAAGACACUCAGCGUGGGGGUCCCCGGCCCAUAAAGCUUUCGAGAUGAUGUCUUUUUUUGUAAAGACUUUCCUGGUGACAUUUUCUGCGCGCUCCGUCAUUAACGCCAGUCACCGGCUGGGGUAAGGUGCUCCCCUGUUCCUGCCCGCCCCGCGCCCCGCGAACUGCACGCCCAGCCCCUGGAGAAGCUCUCAGGGACCCAAGGACAGCACCGACGACGAAAGACACAGCAAAAA